rnacentral:lncRNA from 1 species
ACCGCCUCUCUGCCGCUCAGCCGUGUCGCCCUCUCCUCCUCGUCUGCCAACAUCCGUAUGGCUCGGUUUUGUCUGACCCAGCCGCCCUCUUUCUCCUCCGUCGCCAAUCUUCCCACUGCUUGAUCUCGUCCGACUGAGCUACCCCUGCCUCUUUCCUCCUCUUCUUCCUCCUGCCUUCCCAUCGGUUUGCCCUGUUCGACCCAAUCUUCCCUCUCUCAUCCUCCUCCACCUGCCCACUCGGCCUCAUGCGACCUAGUCACCCCCUUUCUCCUAUUCUUCUCUGUCUUCGUCUUACCUCUUUUCCUCUUCCUUCAUCAACACUCAGCAAUCCUCUUUCUUCGACCGCCUAUACAAUACGGCUUAGGGAUUGGGUGAUACGAUACGGCUUAGGGAUUGGGUUAAAGAGAGAAGGCUUUUUGAAAAGCCCCUCUCAACUUCGACAAAAUUAUGCUCCUCUAUUAUUUAUUUUAUUAUAAAAAUAAUUUUAAAUUUUAAAAAUAUUAUCAUAUUAGUUAUGCACGUGAUUGACUAUAAAGAUAAUAAUGGAUAGAAUUUGAAUCGAAAUAUUAUAAUAUCCAUCUUCAAAUUCGAACUUAAUAUUCUAUAUUCAAAUCCUACCCGAUAUCCAAUCGGAUAAGAAAAGAGAUACUCAUCCCCAUACGU